AUUGAACACUGGCGGCAGGCUUAACACAUGCAAGUCGAGCGGAGAUGAGGUGCUUGCACCUUAUCUUAGCGGCGGACGGGUGAGUAAUGCUUAGGAAUCUGCCUAUUAGUGGGGGACAACAUUCCGAAAGGAAUGCUAAUACCGCAUACGUCCUACGGGAGAAAGCAGGGGACCUUCGGGCCUUGCGCUAAUAGAUGAGCCUAAGUCGGAUUAGCUAGUUGGUGGGGUAAAGGCCUACCAAGGCGACGAUCUGUAGCGGGUCCGAGAGGAUGAUCCGCCACACUGGGACUGAGACACGGCCCAGACUCCUACGGGAGGCAGCAGUGGGGAAUAUUGGACAAUGGGGGGAACCCUGAUCCAGCCAUGCCGCGUGUGUGAAGAAGGCCUUUUGGUUGUAAAGCACUUUAAGCGAGGAGGAGGCUACCGAGAUUAAUACUCUUGGAUAGUGGACGUUACUCGCAGAAUAAGCACCGGCUAACUCUGUGCCAGCCGCCGCGGUAAAAC
rnacentral:rRNA from 1 species